ACGCACGAUGCCAACCCCGGGCUCCUCCGAGGUUGAACGUUGACGAUGGCAAGCCCCAAUGCUCGUGCUAGAUCGAGACGCCGUUCGUGUUGCAGCUUAGCUUCACUCUUGUGUCCGUAGCUUUGAUCUGUGUCAAUUCAAACGGCUACAUCU